UCACAACAGAAUUGCUUUGGUUUAACAGAAAACUGUCAGGACUGCUGAUUUUCUUUUGCCUGCCUCCAUCACAAGCGUGCUACUCCGGGAUCUGAUUCACUUCUCUUAGAUCUGAGCAGUUUUCAGCUCUGGAAGGAUUUGUGGUAUUGGUGUAAUGGUAACUUCACUGCAAUCUGAUCAGGCACUUCUUUAGGUAAGGACUUUUAUAACUCUAAGAAAGCGUUUAUUUCUGUGCCCCUUCUUCCCUCCCAGCCCUCUUCCAUUUAGCUUUCUGGUAACUUUUCUGGUUGGUGGGUGAUGUUUAUUUGGGUGAUCCAUGUACACUGCCAUAAAAUGAAGAUCAAAUGCUGGAGUGCCUCACGCCUGCCUCUCAUUUCAAAUUGUAGGUAUCUACUCCACUGUGUGGCCCUUCUCUGAAAUGUAGUGAGAGGUUUAACUGAUGUGCCAUGGAAUGUGGUAUCUUGCUUGUGCUGUAGUUAGGAGGUGUAUAAACAGUGCUGUGCGAAAAUAGCACUGCUCAAAUUUCUCCUAUUUAAAAGGAUUUAAUAAUAAAAGAAGAAGGGACAAGAUGAGUUUCCUGAAUGUCUCAAUUUGGGAGCAAUUCGGAUUUCUAAAUUUUGCUUUCAUGAAAUAGUCCUCAAGGUUUAAUCAAAAUCUUACCGGUAUUCACUCCUCUCCCUUUGUGAGGGACAAACUGACCAAAUGGAUUUUAGCAGAAUAUACCACAAAAUCGGCUUUGUGUGAGCAAAGUUGCUUUUGCUUUUUCUGUCUGAGUCCAUGUGUAAAAAUACAAGACUUGCAUGGGUUUUCUUGGAUUUGGCUGUAGAUGACUCAGCCACAAUCGAGUCUGCAAAACUGCCCUGCUUCUGUAUGUUCAGAAAUAGUCAGCCGUGCGGUUGUGAAGGGAGUGAAAACACAAUCAAGGGGCUGACAGAGGCCUUGGCAUGGGUUGACUGAAUUUCAGCCUGGCGAUGAGAAGGCUCUGGAAUACAGCUGCUCUGUCUCGAGGGAAACCAUCGGUCCUCGGGCAACUUCGUGCAUUACUUUGUGUUUGUUUUGUUUUUCAAUGCUGCACUGGAUUGUGAAAGGGAAAAUGCUUUACUACGUGUUGCUGCCACCAAAACACGCUUUGUCAGUGCCCCCGAAGAAAACAGCUUUUACAGCUCGUGAGGUAAAGGCGGCAGUGACUUCUGAGAAAUCACAGUUGCAGAACAGACUGACAGAUAAGAAUGUUAUAAAAGAACACGUAGCAAAAGCAGUAUUAGAAAAGGUGCGUCCUUGAAACCUUGAAAGCAGAGAACCACAAAAAAGCAUUUAGUAACGGAACGGUACAAGCUGGAAAGAGCAACUUGCAAUCCUCAUGCUGAUCUCCAGGUGUCGUGCAUGUGGAGAACCAUGGCCUUGUGAGCAGGGUGAGAAUAUUCCCUCCCUAUUUUCUGUUUUCUUUUUUCAGAGAAACCUUUUUCAUCCAAAGUUGAACCUUGGCAGGGGUAAAAAUAAGGGAAACGCUUUAUCCGACAGUGUUUUUAAACUGAAAAAACACCUCUUAGUACCCAACAUGUAACCCCCACUUUUUCAGAAAACAAACAAAAAGUCCUCACACAACCUUUAGUUACAGCCAGGAAAUCCAAAUUUAUAUUGCAAUUUUCUUCUCUGUUUCUCCCAAACUUCUGCUGGGUGCCUGUAGAAAGAAUUGAAAUAUCCUGGAAUUGGAACGGACUUGAAGGGAGCUUACUUCCAGAGCUGAGCUGAGGCCUGUAUUUUUUUUGGCAGGAGGGGAUGGAGAGGAGCAAAGAGGGGAGGGUUUAACAUGUGCUUUUUUUUUUUUCCUUGCACUUCUUGUGGCAUCUAAAUCAAGCUCCUCGUUUGUUACCGUAAUCACACUACACAUAAUUGCCGUGAAUUGCCGUUUGUACCAGACUGUUACUAAAUCAUUAGCACUGAUAAUUCCUUGUAUAAAUGAAACUGUCUUUUAGUCUUUGUGAUGAGAGAUAGGUGGGUGGGGUUUGGGUUUUUUUCUGAAUGAAGUAGUUAUUGCAGUAGUGCUAUGGACACUAAGGAUAUUUUUUGAGAAAGGAAAAAACAAAACAAAACACAUGGGUCAGUUACUGCAUGUGUUUGAAGACUUCUAUUUAUUCUAUGAACUUAAAAUGUUUUAGUAAAAUGUCAUCAGCUCUCUUUGCUGUUGUAUGUGUGCACUUAUUGCAAGUAAAUUUAAGUAUCUUUUUAUUUGAAUGUAUCUUAAAACAGUAGAUAGAAUAACAGUCGAUUCUGAAAAAAAAAAAUCAUGGACUUAAUGGACCAUUUUAUAUACCCAGAGGAAGAAAGCAAUACCAUAUGAGAACUUUAAAGUGUAGAAGUGAAUCAUGCAAUCAGGAAUUAUUAUUUAGCCUUUAAAUAAGCAGUAGGAACUGUCCACCCACCAGAGAAAGCAAUUGUAACACACAAAAAAAGAAAUUUAAAUUUUUCUUCACUAAUAUAAAUAAAAUAACAGAAAAGUUGCAUUGUUGUGUAUUAUUAAACUCUUUUCUUGUUCUUUUAAGGUGAUAGAUAUUGCACCUUGAUCCCUUGCUUUCAUCUCUCUCAAAGCAAAAUAAUAGGCCAUCACCAGGUUUGGUUUUCAAAUUCUUGGACACAGAAGUGGCUAAAGGGUUUUGAGAUUUUAAGAUUGCUGGAGCUGGUGAAAUUUGGGUCAAAACAAAAAAAUAUAGAAGCAAAUGCAGUUUAUUUGAAUUCCAAAAAAGAAGAAUUGGAUGUUGUGUGGGGUUUUAUGUAUUUUGAGCAGGAGGGGGGUGUGAACUCUCCUGUCUAAUAUUGAUGCAAAAACUGUAGUGACAAAACAUGAAAGUGCAGAAUAAGGAGUAAACACCCUGUGUUUUCCAACAGAGACAGAAGUGAGGUCUGCUGCGAGCUAGUGUCUUCGUUACUGAGGGAGGAAACAGCCCACUAAUUAAAUGCCAGAUAUCACAAUGGGCGCAGUCAGGUGGCUUUGGGAGUGAGGACCCAGCCCUGCAAAUCCAGUUCCUGAAUCCCUUUGGCUAUCACCUUGGUCAGAAGCUUCAGCCCCUGAGCUCAUU